GGGAAUAUUGGGCAAUGGGCGAAAGCCUGAUCCAGCAAUGCCGCGUGUGUGAAGAAGGUCUUCGGAUUGUAAAGCACUUUCGACGGGGACGAUGAUGACGGUACCCGUAGAAGAAGCCCCGGCUAACUUCGUGCCAG
rnacentral:rRNA from 1 species